rnacentral:rRNA from 1 species
UACAUGGGGUGCAAACGUUGCUCGGAAUUAUUGGGCGUAAAGCGCACGUAGGCGGUUCGUUAAGUCGGAUGUGAAAGCCCUCGGCUCAACUGAGGAAGUGCACCCGAAACUGGCGAGCUUGAGUACGAAAGAGGAUCGCGGAAUUCCCGGUGUAGAGGUGAAAUUCGUAGAUAUCGGGAGGAACACCGAUGGCGAAGGCAGAUCUCUGGGCCGUAACUGACGCUGAGGAGCGAAAGCAUGGGGAGCGAACAGG